rnacentral:rRNA from 1 species
GAUGAACGCUGGCGGCGUGCCUAAUACAUGCAAGUCGAGCGAACAGACGAGGAGCUUGCUCCUCUGACGUUAGCGGCGGACGGGUGAGUAACACGUGGAUAACCUACCUAUAAGACUGGGAUAACUUCGGGAAACCGGAGCUAAUACCGGAUAAUAUAUUGAACCGCAUGGUUCAAUAGUGAAAGACGGUUUUGCUGUCACUUAUAGAUGGAUCCGCGCCGCAUUAGCUAGUUGGUAAGGUAACGGCUUACCAAGGCAACGAUGCGUAGCCGACCUGAGAGGGUGAUCGGCCACACUGGAACUGAGACACGGUCCAGACUCCUACGGGAGGCAACAGUAGGGAAUCUUCCGCAAUGGGCGAAAGCCUGACGGAGCAACGCCGCGUGAGUGAUGAAGGUCUUCGGAUCGUAAAACUCUGUUAUUAGGGAAGAACAAAUGUGUAAGUAACUAUGCACGUCUUGACGGUACCUAAUCAGAAAGCCACGGCUAACUACGU